UACGGGGGGAGCAAGCGUUGUUCGGAUUUACUGGGCGUAAAGGGCGCGUAGGUGGCCUGCUAAGCGUGCGGUGAAAGCUCGGGGCUCAACCCCGAGUCGGCCGUGCGAACUGGUGGGCUCGAGCACUGUAGAGGCAGGCGGAAUUCCGGGUGUAGCGGUGGAAUGCGUAGAGAUCCGGAAGAACACCGGUGGCGAAGGCGGCCUGCUGGGCAGUAGCUGACACUGAGGCGCGACAGCGUGGGGAGCAAACAGGG
rnacentral:rRNA from 1 species